UUUGGCUCAUGUAGGAUUGCAAAACCUAGUUGUGGAAAAGACCCUACUGUUCCCAGGCUUUCCUAGCAAUGCCUAUGAAAUGGACCCAGAGUUACCUCUCAAUAAAUUGUUGCUUUGUUCCAGUUCUGGGAUCCCACUGAUGCCUCAUAGUACUUCUGCAGUGUCAUCUUCAGAUGUUCAGCUUGACGCCUCCUUCAGAAAGCUGAGGAGAGGAGAUUUCUUGACCUGUUCCAGCUACAGCAGAAAUGCACAGGAAAUUCAUCAGGGAGAUAGAUUGAGACCGGCAUUCCUCAUUGCUAGCUACUGUACAUAUAGAAAGAGGAGAAGAGAGAAGAAGGAAGUCUCUCCCUCCAGGGAAACCUGUUUGUCAUUACCCAACUCAUCUAGGUUGGACCCAACUUGAAGUCCUUUUGCUCCAUUGGAAAGUCUGCUUUUCUAGACUCAGAUGUUUGAAUGAAUAGGUAUAAGUUGGGCAUGGACCAUCUUGCCUUCCACACUGCAUGUUCAAAUAAUGUCAUGUAAGAUUUACUACUACUACUAU